GAUGAAGAACGUAGCGAAAUGCGAUACUUGGUGUGAAUUGCAGAAUCCCGUGAACCAUCGAGUCUUUGAACGCAAGUUGCGCCUGAAGCCAUUAGGCCGAGGGCACGCCUGCCUGGGCGUCACACGUCGUUGCCCCCCCAUCUACUCCUUCGGGAUUGCGGGGGGCGGAUGAUGGCCUCCCGUGCGCCUCGUCGCGCGGUUGGCAUAAAUGCCAAGUCCUCGGCGACGCACGCCACGACAACCGGUGGUUGCGAAACCUCGGUUGCCCGUCGUGUGCGGUCGUCGCGCAUCGAGGGCUCGAAAAAAUUGCCGGGCUCCGGCUCGGCUUUCAACGCGACCCCAGGUCAGGCGGGGUUACCCGCUGAAUUUAAGCAUAUCAAUAAGCGGAGGA
rnacentral:misc_RNA from 1 species